rnacentral:tRNA from 1 species
AAAUUUAGGAUUAACCCUCAAACCACAGGCCUUCAAAGCCUAAAAUAAGAGUCACCACCCUCUUAAUUUCU